rnacentral:rRNA from 1 species
AUUGAACGCUGGCGGCAGGCCUGACACAUGCAAGUCGAGCGCGAAAGUUCUUGGGAAUGAGUAAAGCGGCGGACGGGUGAGUAAUACAUGGGAAUCUGCCUGGUAGUGGGGGACAACGUUUCGAAAGGAACGCUAAUACCGCAUACGCCCUACGGGGGAAAGGGGGGAUCUUCGGACCUCUCGCUAUCAGAUGAGCCCAU